AUUGAACGCUGGCGGAAUGCUUUACACAUGCAAGUCGAACGGCAGCACGGGGGCAGCCCUGGUGGCGAGUGGCGAACGGGUGAGUAAUACAUCGGAACGUGCCCGGUCGUGGGGGAUAACGUAGCGAAAGUUACGCUAAUACCGCAUACGAUCUGAGGAUGAAAGCGGGGGACCUUCGGGCCUCGCGCGAUCGGAGCGGCCGAUGUCAGAUUAGGUAGUUGGUGGGGUAAAGGCCUACCAAGCCGACGAUCUGUAGCUGGUCUGAGAGGACGACCAGCCACCUUGGGCCUGGGAAACGGCCCAGACCCCUACGGGGGGCAGCAGGGGGGAAUUUGGGAAAAGGGGGGCAACCCUGACCCAGCCAUCCCGGGGGAAGGACGAAGCCCUUCGGGUUGUAAACUGCUUUUUUACGGAAAAAAAAGGCUUUGGCUAAUACCGGGGGCUCAUGAGGGUACCGAAAAAAAAAGCACCGGCUAAUUACGU
rnacentral:rRNA from 1 species